rnacentral:rRNA from 1 species
CCCUUAGAUGUUCUGGGCCGCACGCGCGCUACACUGAUACAAGCAGCAAGUCGUUUCCUUGACCGAAAGGUCUGGGUAAUCUUGUGAAAUUGUAUCGUGAUAGGACUUGACGAUUGUAAUUAUUUGUCACAAACGAGGAAUUCCUAGUAAGCGCAAGUCAUCAACUUGCACUGAUUACGUCCCUGCCCUUUGUACACACCGCCCGUCGCUCCUACCGAUUGAAUGUUAAGGCGAACACUCCGGAAUCGUGGCCUUGAUUGGGCAACCUUUCGAGGCCAAUGAUGAAGUUGUGUAAGCCUUGACAUUUAGAGGAAGGAAAAGUCGUANCA